rnacentral:rRNA from 1 species
GACAGAGGGUGCAAACGUUGUUCGGAAUUACUGGGCGUAAAGCGCGUGUAGGCUGCUCGGAAAGUCGGAUGCGAAAGCCCUGGGCUCAACCUAGGAAGUGCAUUCGAAACUUCCGAGCUGGAGUGCUGGAGAGGAAGGCGGAAUUCUCGGUGUAGAGGUGAAAUUCGUAGAUAUCGAGAGGAACACCAGUGGCGAAGGCGGCGAUCUGGGAAGAUACUGACGCUGAGGUGCGAAAGCGUGGGGAGCAAACAGG